UGAGCGAUCUGCCCUUCUCAUCGGAAUAAGCGCUGGAAACGACGUCUAAUGCCGAAUACGACCUCCUUUCGCAUGAUCGGAGGUGGAAAGCUCCGGCGGAGAAGGAUGAGCUCGCGGCCUAUCAGCUAGUUGGUGUGGGUAAUGGCCCACCAAGGCGACGACGGGUAGCCGGCCUGAGAGGGUGACCGGCCACACUGGGACUGAGACACGGCCCAGACUCCUAGGAGG
rnacentral:rRNA from 1 species